UGUAAGACCCUCCAUAGUCUAGGGGGCUAUAUUGUAAAUUAUGUGUGUCGUUUUGCAAUCAAACGAUUGCAACCCAAUUAUGUAAUCGGCUCUCUUGAGCCUAUAAAUAGGGCCUUCGCCCAUAUGAAAUAAACAAGUUAAGUUUGAGUGUUUAAGACUUGAGUUGAUCUCAAAGUUUUUUCUCUGUUGAAAUAGUUUGUCUAUUUCUGAAUAGCAGAGCCCUAUCCAAACUAUCCACAUAAACAUUCAAUUAUUCAACAUAAUCCAUCGUUAAUCCAUCUCAACGCAUCAUUCAGGGUUAAGAAGAGGUUGCAAAAGAGGGUGGUCGUGAAUUUUCUCAUAAGGGUAAAGGGACGUUAGAUUGAUUGGAGAACAAAGAGGUUGUGGGGUUACAUACACAUUAUUGAAUCAACGGUUUUAUUUGCUCAUUCAUGAACUGCUAAGGGACUAUAGUUUUUUUUUUUUAAUGUUUUUCAUUAUUAUUUGUGUAUGCUAUAUCUUUGAUAUGGUAUGGUAGGCUUUGAAUUUGGUUUC